AACUCAUUCUGAAAAAUAAAAACAAACUGAUCUACGACUAUAGAGGGCAUCCGUCACAAAGUGGAUAACAUACAGAUUUUCAUGACAUAGAGAUUAGAUCUUUUUGGCAUUAGAAGCGAUUCUGUUGCACUAAUAUUUUAGGCGAUGGAUGAGAGAGUGAUGUUUUAUUAAAUCCAUUAUUACUUGACAUAUAAUUUUGUUUGAUACAUGCAGUGUGUGUGCAAUGCCUCGACUGGUAGUACCCCAACUGAAAACAUAUCCGGGAGACAUGGCAUGUUAUAUGGAAUUGAAAAUUUUCCCACGAUACCAAGCAUAUGCAUGCUGAUCUUUGCUUCAUUCUCGACAUGGAAAAUGCAGUGGUGAUAAGGAAAUACAUGCCAUUAUGAGUCUGCUCGAGGGGUUCAAGCUUUGAAGUGAAUAGAGAACAAGGUGAAGCAAUAUAGGAUGUGACGUGCAAAAGGUAAUGCGUAAUUACACCCAAAUAUUUUCUGGUAUGUUGGUCUGCUUACAACCAAAGUCUCAUUUUUUUCAUUGAACAGUAAGUCAUCAACAAAUUUCUGAUUUGUUGCUUUGGAUUCUCGGAAUUUUUUCCUCCACGUAUAUUUAUUCAAACGCAAAGUAUUCAUAGGUCAUAUACUUGGUCACUUGGAACGAUAUUUUAAUUUCUACAUUGCUAUGCUCAUUAGGACAUUCCCGUAAAUCAAUGCCGCUAUUGUGUAGACAAACAAAAUUUAAGAAUGUAUCUUGAUGUUGGUAAAAAAGCCGCUUGCAGGUUAGUCAUUCAUCUUCCCAUUAUUUAUUUUUGUAAUGCGUUUUAAGUUAGGUACAUAAAUAGUGCGUGAAUUGACAUUACAACCUUUAUUGUUGGUGCCAUGUAGGUUAUAAGUCAAGUACCCACCUUGAAUUAUUUGUCCUUCCAUAUUUUAGAAGUUCUCUAAUAAUAUUUCUGUGUACAAAUUGUAUAGGAAGGAACAUCAUGUCAUAUGCUUUUGUAGCUGCUUUCAUUUGGGAUGCUAAACACUUCCUAGAGAGGUUACUAAGUUACUUUAGGAACUUUUUUCCCCUCUUUGACUAUUAUUGAUUUUAUGAAAUGCAUAACCCUCAUCAUUAUUUUGAUAGAAGGCAACAUUAUAGAUGGCUCUAUCCAAAGUUUACAUGCAGCUGGAUCACCAAGAUAUAAUCGAUCACAGGUGACAUGGACUAAAUGCCUUGCGAUAGUAUAAAUAAAGUUAUUCUAUGCAUGCGAACAAAACAUAAUUCCUUUGUACUGUGAACAAGUUACAAUGGUAAAAAUAAAAUUAUUCAGAAUAUAUUUAAAAGAAAACAGUGUGGAAUACAUUUUAAGAAGAACAUUACAAUAGUUAUUGACAUUUCAUAUCAAUUAGAAGAAGUUACUUAUUAUUAAUUUAAUUAUGUAAUGCCAUCACACAUUUUAAAGGUAGUCACCCCAAAUAGGCUAAUUUCAUAAUGCAUCUAUACUAGCCCGUGCAAUUGCACGGGUUGACGACUAGUAGUUCCAAUCAUAAGUGCAUAUAAUUCCAAGUAAGGGAUGACAUGCUAGCAGAGGCCUCUCCCACAUGAUACUUGCUAUCAUUCUAGUAACGUAGUCAAUUGCUUAGGGACAAUUCUGCAACUCCUACCACCACUUUUCCACACUCGUUAGACACUCGUUGUUGUUUCUUUACCAGCUCCUAGUUUUAUUUACGUGUUCUUUACUUUCUUGCAAGCCUAUCCUAUCACUCCUACAAAGUACUUCUAGUUUCAUACUUGUUCUAGGUAAAGCGAACGUAAAGUGUGCGUAGAGUUGUAUCGGUGGUCGACAGAACUUGAGGGAAUGUUUGUCCUACCUUUAUCUCCUCGUUGGGUUCGACACUCUUACUUAUCGAGAAAGGCUACAAUUGAUCCCCUAUACUUGUGGGUUAUCAAGACCUUUUUCUGGCGCCGUUGCCGGGGAG
rnacentral:lncRNA from 1 species